GACGAACGCUGGCGGCGUGCUUAACACAUGCAAGUCGAACGGUAAGGCCCUUCGGGGUACACGAGUGGCGAACGGGUGAGUAACACGUGGGUGAUCUGCCCUGCACUUCGGGAUAAGCCUGGGAAACUGGGUCUAAUACCGGAUAGGACUCCGGACUGCAUGGUCUGGGGUGGAAAGCUUUUGCGGUGUGGGAUGGGCCCGCGGCCUAUCAGCUUGGUGGUGGGGUGAUGGCCGACCAAGGCGACGACGGGUAGCCGGCCUGAGAGGGUGACCGGCCACACUGGGACUGAGAUACGGCCCAGACUCCUACGGGAGGCAGCAGUGGGGAAUAUUGCACAAUGGGCGCAAGCCUGAUGCAGCGACGCCGCGUGAGGGAUGACGGCCUUCGGGUUGUAAACCUCUUUCAGCAUCGACGAAGCGAAAGUGACGGUAGGUGCAGAAGAAGGACCGGCCAACUACGUGCCAGCAGCCGCCGUAA
rnacentral:rRNA from 1 species